UACGAAGGGGGCGAGCGUUGUUCGGAUUUACUGGGCGUAAAGGGCGCGCAGGCGGUCCUGUUUGUCGAGUGUGAAAGCCCCGGGCUCAACCUGGGAACUGCGCUCGAAACGGCGGGACCAGAGUUCGGGAGAGGAGAGUGGAAUUCCCAGUGUAGAGGUGAAAUUCGUAGAUAUUGGGAAGAACACCGGUGGCGAAGGCGGCUCUCUGGACCGAUACUGACGCUGAGGCGCGAAAGCGUGGGGAGCAAACAGG
rnacentral:rRNA from 1 species